rnacentral:rRNA from 1 species
AACGAACGCUGGCGGCGCGCCUAAUACAUGCAAGUCGAGCGAGAAGACGUAGCAAUACGUUUGUAAAGCGGCGAACGGGUGAGGAAUACAUGGGUAACCUACCCUCGAGUGGGGAAUAACUAGCCGAAAGGUUAGCUAAUACCGCGUACGCUCCUUGGACUUCGGUUCAGGGAGGAAAGCGAUACCGUGGGUAUCGCGCUCUUGGAUGGGCUCAUGUCCUAUCAGCUUGUUGGUGAGGUAACGGCUCACCAAGGCUUCGACGGGUAGCUGGUCUGAGAGGACGAUCAGCCACACUGGCACUGCGACACGGGCCAGACUCCUACGGGAGGCAGCAGUAAGGAAUAUUGCGCAAUGGGCGAAAGCCUGACGCAGCGACGCCGCGUGGGGGAGUGAAGGU